rnacentral:rRNA from 1 species
GGCGGACGGGUGAGUAACACGUGAGUAAUCUGCCUUCUGCAGGGGAAUAACAUUGUGAAAACAGUGCUAAUACCGCAUGACAUAGUUCUGGGGCAUCCCAGGACUAUCAAAGGAGCAAUCCGGCAGAAGAUGAACUCGCGUCCGAUUAGCUGGUUGGCGGGGUAACGGCCCACCAAGGCGACGAUCGGUAGCCGAACUGAGAGGUUGAUCGGCCACAUUGGGACUGAGACACGGCCCAGACUCCUACGGGAGGCAGCAGUGGGGAAUAUUGGGCAAUGGGGGAAACCCUGACCCAGCAACGCCGCGUGAAGGACGAAGGCCUUCGGGUUGCAAACUUCUUUGAUCAGGGACGAAUAAAUGACGGUACCUGAAGAACAAGCCACGGCUAACUACGUGCCAGCAGCCGCGGUAAU